AUGCAUUUGUCUAAGGGGAACCCCGAAGACUCGACCUCUUCUGUGAAGAAAGGAUCCGCCAUUUUCAGUGAGGGGAACCCUGGAGACCAGACCUCUUCUGUGAGGAAAGACCUGGGGACCCACCAUUUAAAGGAACCCUGAGGACCCACCUGCCUCUGUCAGGGAAGCCCUGGGGACCCGCUCUACGUUAAAUGAAUAGCUGCAAACAGAGCUCAAGUUCUCAUCCCUGAGGCAGUGGAUUAUGUCUCCUGGAACUCUACGGAGGUGGCAGGAGGCUGGCGACUGCUCCCCUGAACACGCAGAAGUAUAGAUGGACCAUAUUUGUGAUGUGUGGCUCCCAGCUGACCCAGAUUUGGAGCGGAGGAAGGAGAGAUGAGGAAUGGAGAAAACCUCUCAAACUCACUGGAGCAAACAGCACCUGUAGACUCAGCGCGGGAGCGCCUCUUCCCUCUACAGCUCCACAGACACCGCUGCACUCCCAGCAGCACGGGCAGGAGCUUGCACCAGGAAAAGCUCAGGGAUGUGCCGGCCCACUCCUCUCCUUUGACCCCUGAGGACCCAGGUCUAGGGGGGAUUAAGAAAUAUGCCGUAGGAAAAAUAAAUGCAAAAGCUGAAGUGGAACUAGAAUCUCUGUCUCUGGACUCCUAGCUCAGUCCCUUUCAAGCUAUUAUUUAGGAUUAUCAUUGGACUGCCCUGGGCCUCCAGUUUUCAGGAGUUUUUCACCCCACCCAGAGUUUUAAGGCACUCAUUGUGAAUUACACAAAUCAUGGAUGUAACCCUGCAGCGCUAAGCAAUAAGUUGUCCUGCAUCGCCCCCUGGUGGGCUUUUGAGCUAUAGUCAUAUUAAAUAUAUUAAAUUUCUAGGAAGGACUGAAGUGGCUGGACCCUACGUCUAUGAUGCCUUAAUUCCUCCAAGACUGUAAGACGGUUGGCUCCAUACGAGCACUCCCUCUCUCCCACCUGUGUGGAGUGCCCUUCUCCUUUCUCAGACUGGAUUUGAUUAUUAUCCCAACCCUAGUUGCCUUUCUCAGGCACUCAGUUCUCUUUCACUGAAGCUCUCAGCAGAGUGUGGAUCUAGGUGCACUGUGCUUCUAUUGGUCUCCACCCUGGCUGGGCUGCCUCCUGGGAAAAAGAACUUGGCUGUUUGUUUAAAAAUAUACAUACAUAUAUAUACAGGCAGGCGGUGUAUAUUAAUCCCAUCAGGGUAAGUGGGGUGUCCAUCACCUCAAGCAUUUACCUUUCAUUGUGUUAUAAGCAAAAUACUCUUAUUUUUAAAUAUACAACAAAUGAUUGUUAACUG